AGUGAACGCUGGCGGUAGGCCUAACACAUGCAAGUCGAACGGCAGCACAGUAAGAGCUUGCUCUUACGGGUGGCGAGUGGCGGACGGGUGAGGAAUACAUCGGAAUCUACUUUUUCGUGGGGGAUAACGUAGGGAAACUUACGCUAAUACCGCAUACGACCUACGGGUGAAAGCAGGGGAUCUUCGGACCUUGCGCGAUUGAAUGAGCCGAUGUCGGAUUAGCUAGUUGGCGGGGUAAAGGCCCACCAAGGCGACGAUCCGUAGCUGGUCUGAGAGGAUGAUCAGCCACACUGGAACUGAGACACGGUCCAGACUCCUACGGGAGGCAGCAGUGGGGAAUAGUGGACAAAGGGCGCAGGCCUGAUCCAGCCAUACCGCGUGGGUGAAGAAGGCCUUCGGGUUGUAAAGCCCUUUUGUUGGGAAAGAAAAGCAGCAGGUUAAUACCCCGCUGUUCUGACGGUACCCAAAGAAUAAGCACCGGCUAACUUCGUG
rnacentral:rRNA from 1 species